GCCGUGGGUGUCUAUAAUCCCAGCUACUUGGGAGGCUGAGGUGGGAGGAUGGCUUGAGUCGAGGAGUUCUGGGAUGCAGUGCACUAUGCUGAUUGGGUGUCCACACUAAGUUUGGCAUUGAUAUGGUGACCUCUGGGGAGUGGGGGAUCACCUAGUUGCCUAAGGAGAGGUGAACCGGCCCAGGUCAGAAAUGGAGCAGGUCAAAACUCUUGUGCUCAUCAGUAGUGGGAUUGAGCCUGUGAAUAGCCACUGUACUACAGACUGGGCAAUAUAGCAAGACCCCAUCU
rnacentral:SRP_RNA from 10 species